GUGAAUCAUCGAAUCUUUGAACGCAUAUUGCGCUCUCCGGCAUUCCGGAGAGCUUGCCUGUUUGAGUAUUGGCCUAAAUGAGAGUCUUCCUUUAAAGAUAUAAAAAAGAACGUUAAGAACCCUCAGUUGAGACUUCUCGACAAUUCGUUGCCGAGUGUUUUAAAAUGCAAUAGUACCGCCACGUUUGCGAACUUGGAGUAAUAUGUGAGCCUGAAAAGGUGUUAAGUGGGAAGUUUUUGAAUGCCGAAUUAAGGGAGACGGUGUUCAAUUGUUCGAGUAACGACGAACAAAAUAAACUUA
rnacentral:misc_RNA from 1 species